UACGUAGGUGGCAAGCGUUGUCCGGAUUUACUGGGCGUAAAGAGCGCGCAGGCGGCCAACUAAGUCGGACGUGAAAUCCCUCAGCUUAACUGGGGAACUGCGUCCGAUACUGGAUGGCUUGGAUUUGGGAGAGGGAUGCGGAAUUCCAGGUGUAGCGGUGAAAUGCGUAGAUAUCUGGAGGAACACCGGUGGCGAAGGCGGCAUCCUGGACCAAUAUUGACGCUGAGGAGCGAAAGCCAGGGGAGCAAACGGG
rnacentral:rRNA from 1 species